rnacentral:rRNA from 1 species
GAUGAACGCUGGCGGCGUGCUUAACACAUGCAAGUCGAACGGAAAGGCCCAAGCUUGCUUGGGUACUCGAGUGGCGAACGGGUGAGUAACACGUGGGUGAUCUGCCCUGCACUUCGGGAUAAGCCUGGGAAACUGGGUCUAAUACCGGAUAGGAUCACUUCUUGGAUGUUGUGGUGGAAAGUUUUUCGGUGUGGGAUGAGCUUGCGGCCUAUCAGCUUGUUGGUGGGGUAAUGGCCUACCAAGGCGUCGACGGGUAGCCGGCCUGAGAGGGUGUACGGCCACAUUGGGACUGAGAUGCGGCCCAGACUCCUACGGGAGGCAGCAGUGGGGAAUAUUGCACAAUGGGCGCAAGCCUGAUGCAGCGACGCCGCGUGGGGGAUGACGGCCUUCGGGUUGUAAACUCCUUUCGCUAGGGACGAAGCUCAUUUUGUGACGGUACCUGGAGAAGAAGCACCGGCUAACUACGUG